GAGAGGGUCAGUAAGGAAAUGAUGAAAACCGCUGACAUCAAGAGAGGUCCCUGAUUGUUCCAGGAGCUGCAGUUUAUCCAAGUGUUCUCAGACCAGAUUUGUUCUUCCUCUACAAGACUCUCUUCUAUUUACUGCUGGGUUGCUCCUUUCAAUCCCAAAGAUACUGGACAACUGUGACGAGCUCCUGUAUUGGGUUUGGGCUGAGCUGGCGUUAAUUCUCCUCAAAGCAUCUUUCUAGUGCUGUGCUUUGCAUUGCUACAGCUGAGUGCUGACAACACAGCAGUGUUUGGCUACUGCUGAGCUGAGCACCAAGUCUGUGCUUUUCCAACAUUUCCCUGCCCUGAGAGCCUGAGGGUGUCGUGGUAGCCCCAAAUAGGCCAAAAUAGGCUUAUACAUGUCCUGGCUUGCCCAAACAUGUUUUUCUGCUCUCUCUUCCUCUGUUUUGGGGAGAAGCAACUGCAGGAAAGAGGACAAAGAACCCGAAGCCACUGAGUCUAAGCAUUCUGGCUUGCCCAGACUUGUUUUGCUCCUGUUUAUAUCCUGUGGUAAACAAGGUAGACACACUUGACUUGUGCCUGCCUUGUGCAAGGCCUGUGUUUUCCCCAAAUUUGGGUAAAACAAGCCUAUGACUUCACCUAAUAUGGUCAGACUUGGCUAACUGCCAUUCUGAUUGGCUAUUCUAUGUCCAAAGGCCCAUUCAUCACGCUACUGAUAAAAACAGAUGAGUAGGUAACACAACGUGCUCUGCCAUUGUAUUCAUGCCUGCUGUUACCUGCUGCUAUUGCUCUCUGCUCCUGACAGUAUACUGCUUUACUGCCUUAUUGCCAUGCUCUGCUACAAAGUAACAAACCCUGAUACUUGGGAUUUAUUUGCCUGGAAACUUCCUGCUUGGAGUUUACCAGGAACAGGCAUAAAUGCCUCCAUGCAAUCGGCCUGCAUGGCCAGAGUGACAUUGUGCUAAGACUGCACAUUGCAAGACAUCCUGCCUACACCUGAAAGUCUCCUGCCAAGUCAGGAAGUCCUGGAGAUACACAGAGGAACCAGGACCAGGUCAGAGAUAGUCUGCCUCCUUUCCCUAGCACCUUGUGAAGCCUGAGAAGAAUCAGAAGCCUCAGUGGCUGACGAGACAGUAACAGAAUUCCCUGAAAGCAUUUGGGUACUGCCUGAAAUAGUAUCUGGCCCUGCCAAUUGGGAGAUUCAUAUUUGUGAGUAAAAACUUAAAGCCUCCUGUAAUUCACCAUUGUCUUCUGCCAUAAGCAGAGUUCAUCUAGUGGAGAAGCAGCAUAGUUAAUUAACCACAAGCAGUGUGUUGACCGCAGGAAACUUCUCUUCCAGCUUAACUGAGUUCAAUUCAUGUUAUAUUAUUGGUAGUUAUUUCUGAAUUUUCUACAUCCUGUGUUAUCAUAUGUGUAAUGUUUCCAUGACUGUACAAAGAGCCAAUCGUUAUUAAGCAGUAGUGGUUGGGUGGCAAGAGUUCUGAAUACCAAAAUUAAUAAAUGAUAUUAAUUUUGAAAAAUCAUAGCUCACAUCAAUUAAUUACCCCUCCAUUACAGAGGGGACACAGCAGAGCCAGCUGACCCAAACUGGCCAAAGGGAUAUUCAUAGAAUCAUAGAAUCAACCAGGUUGGAAGAGACCUCCAAGAUCAUCGAGUCCAACCUAGCACCCAGCCCUAGCCAGUCAACUAGACCAUGGCACUGAGUGCCUC